rnacentral:rRNA from 1 species
GUGGGGAAUAUUGGACAAUGGGCGAAAGCCUGAUCCAGCAAUGCCGCGUGAGUGAUGAAGGCCUUAGGGUUGUAAAGCUCUUUUACCAGGGAUGAUAAUGACAGUACCUGGAGAAUAAGCUCCGGCUAACUCCGUGCCAGCAGCCGCGGUAAUACGGAGGGAGCUAGCGUUGUUCGGAAUCACUGGGCGUAAAGCGCACGUAGGCGGCUAUUCAAGUCAGGGGUGAAAGCCCGGGGCUCAACCCCGGAACUGCCUUUGAAACUAGAUAGCUUGAAUCUUGGAGAGGCGAGUGGAAUUCCGAGUGUAGAGGUGAAAUUCGUAGAUAUUCGGAAGAACACCAGUGGCGAAGGCGACUCGCUGGACAAGUAUUGACGCUGAGGUGCGAAAGCGUGGGGAGCAAACAGG